rnacentral:sRNA from 1 species
AAAACGAAAGCACUCCGUACUGGAAGUAGGAGGAGAGUCGGGACUCCCAGGACAGGGAGUGCACAAACUAUCCAGCACAGCCCCCUCCGCCCCCUUUGGAGGCUGAAGAGGGAUUCCAGCCUCUGCCACCCACAGACAGGGGCUGACUGGGGUGUCUGCCCCCCUUGGGGGGGCAGCACAGGGCCUCAGGCCUGGGUGCCGCCUGGCACCUAGAAGAUGCCUGUGCCCUGGUUCUUGCUGUCCUUGGCACUGGGCCGAAGCCCAGUGGUCCUUUCUCUGGAGAGGCUUGUGGGGCCUCAGGACGCUACCCACUGCUCUCCGGGCCUCUCCUGCCACCUCUGGGACAGUGACAUACUCUGCCUGCCUGGGGACAUCAUGCCUGCUCCGGGCCCCGUGCUGGCGCCUACACAUCUGCAGACAGAGCUGGUGCUGAGGUGCCACAAGGAGGCCGACUGUGACCUCUGUGUGCGUGUGGCUGUCCACUUGGCCGUGCAUGGGCACUGGGAAGAGCCUGAAGAUGAGGAAAAGUUUGGAGGAGCAGCUGACCCAGGGGUGGAGGAGCCUAGGAAUGCCUCUCUCCAGGCCCAAGUCGUGCUCUCCUUCCAGGCCUACCCUACUGCCCGCUGUGUCCUGCUGGAGGUGCAAGUGCCUGCUGCCCUUGUGCAGUUUGGUCAGUCUGUGGGCUCUGUGGUAUAUGACUGCUUCGAGGCUGCCCUAGGGAGUGAGGUACGAAUCUGGUCCUAUACUCAGCCCAGGUACGAGAAGGAACUCAACCUCACACAGCAGCUGCCUGCCCUGCCCUGGCUCAACGUGUCAGCAGAUGGUGACAACGUGCAUCUUGUUCUGAAUGUCUCUGAGGAGCAGCACUUCGGCCUCUCCCUGUACUGGAAUCAGGUCCAGGGCCCCCCAAAACCCCGGUGGCACAAAAACCUGACUGGACCGCAAAUCAUUACCUUGAACCACACAGACCUGGUUCCCUGCCUCUGUAUUCAGGUGUGGCCUCUGGAACCUGACUCCGUUAGGACGAACAUCUGCCCCUUCAGGGAGGACCCCCGCGCACACCGGAACCUCUGGCGAGCCGCCCGCCUGCGACUGCUGACCCUGCAGAGCUGGCUGCUGGACGCACCGUGCUCGCUGCCCGCAGAAGCGGCACUGUGCUGGCGGGCUCCGGGUGGGGACCCCUGCCAGCCACUGGUCCCACCGCUUUCCUGGGAGAAUGUCACUGUGGAUAAGGUUCUCGAGUUCCCAUUGCUGAAAGGCCACCCUAACCUCUGUGUUCAGGUGAACAGCUGGGAGAAGCUGCAGCUGCAGGAGUGCUUGUGGGCUGACUCCCUGGGGCCUCUCAAAGACGAUGUGCUACUGUUGGAGACACGAGGCCCCCAGGACAACAGAUCCCUUUGUGCCUUGGAACCCAGUGGCUGUACUUCACUACCCAGCAAAGCCUCCACGAGGGCAGCUCGCCUUGGAGAGUACUUACUACAAGACCUGCAGUCAGGCCAGUGUCUGCAGCUAUGGGAUGAUGACUUGGGAGCGCUAUGGGCCUGCCCCAUGGACAAAUACAUCCACAAGCGCUGGGCCCUCGUGUGGCUGGCCUGCCUACUCUUUGCCGCUGCGCUUUCCCUCAUCCUCCUUCUCAAAAAGGAUCAUGCGAAAGAGUGGCUGAGGCUCUUGAAACAGGACGUCCGGUCGGGGGGUGAGUGGGAGCAAGCGCUGGGCGGAGGGCCGCCCCCGGGGGGCCAGGCCUGUGCCAGCUCACCUCUUCCCUCCCCAUGUGUUUUCUCCGGCAGCGGCCGCCAGAAGCCGCGCGGCUCUGCUCCUCUACUCAGCCGAUGACUCGGGCUUCGAGCGCCUGGUUGGCGCCCUGGCGUCGGCGCUGUGCCAGCUGCCGCUGCGCGUAGCCGUAGACCUGUGGAGCCGUCGUGAACUGAGCGCGCAGGGGCCCGUGGCUUGGUUCCACGCGCAGCGGCGCCAGACCCUGCAGGAGGGAGGCGUGGUGGUCUUGCUCUUCUCGCCUGGUGCGGUGGCGCUGUGCAGCGAGUGGCUACAGGACGGGGUGUCCGCGCCCGGGGCGCACGGCCCGCACGACGCCUUCCGCGCCUCGCUCAGCUGCGUGCUGCCCGACUUCUUGCAGGGCCGUGCGCCCGGCAGCUACGUGGGGGCCUGCUUCGACAGGCUGCUCCACCCGGACGCCGUACCCGCCCUUUUCCGCACCGUGCCCGUCUUCACACUGCCCUCCCAACUGCCGGACUUCCUGGGGGCCCUGCAGCAGCCCCGCGCCGCGCGUUCCGGGCGGCUCCAAGAGAGGGCGGAGCAAGUGUCCCGGGCCCUUCAGCCAGCCCUGGAUAGCUACUUCCAUCCCCCGGGGACUCCCGCGCCGGGACGUGGGGUGGGACCUGGGGCGGGGGACGGGACUUAAAUAAAGGCAGACGCUGUUUUUCUACCCAUGUGGCCCA